CGCAGGAUUUGCCCUUUCAGUGCUUGCCCCAGGCCUCUCCUGGCCGCCAUCCUCGAGGGCUGUGGCGACUUCCGAUCCGCCUAGGCUCGAGAGGGGCCUUGUGCUGUUGCACUGAAGCCGGGUAGGCUCCUGAGGUUCGCCGUGGGCCGGGGAUCUCCGUCCCGUCUUCCGCGGCCUCCCCCACCUGCAGACAGCGUUUGCUCCCAGUCGGGUCGGAGGUGUCAGUCGCCCACGCCUCCAUCUCCUCCAGCUCUGGGCCCUCUGCACCCUCCUCCCAUCCCGGGCCCGCCUUCUGGCGGGGUGGGGUGGGGUGUGCCCCUGACUGGCACUCCAGGUGUCCUUCACUUGCGGAACACGGCGGCUGUGGGCCGAGCCGGGAACCGUGUACCAGUCUGGCCUCCCUUGAGUGUGUGGAGCCCCCUUUACAGCAGAACAGAGUAGCGACUGUGGAGUUGGCCCCUGUAGACUAAUGAUGUUCUAACUUUCUAAAGAAGUGGAAACUCCAUUUCCUGAGCCCAGUAGAAAGCCCACAGGAGUCAGGGCCUGGUUUUAUCUGGGGGAGAUGUAGCCACUCAGGCCCAGUCUGGCCCCCACGCCCCCUGAAGGGUGAAAAACGCUGGACUUCCUGGACUCUGGAUUCCCUCCAUCUCUGGCUGGCGGACAGCACGAGUUCUUGGAAGCUUGUGUGAGGCUCUAGUAAGUCUCCCUGGCAUCUCUCCAAUCCUUUCCCUCGUUUAUUCUUUCAUUCUGCAAACAUUCCCCAAACUUGUGCUCUAUGCUAAAUUCCCAGAGGGACAAAGAACUGGAAGGCCAGACACUGAGACAAUGAAAAACUUGCUUUCUUGAUGCAGUCACUGAGAGGGGACUCCCCAAAAUGACAAGAGCGGCAAGGCCUCCAGAUUGUGGUCUAGGUGGAGACCAAGUGCUUUCUUGGAGCUACCUGCCUGACACUUUGCAGGAGCGUUUCCGUAUCAGGUGCCCACAGAGACAGAGCGGUGAGUCACCGCUGCUUCUGGAGCAUGGCUGUGGGCUGUCUGGAGGGAAAUCCACUUCCCUCCCACAGUGACAUGGUCAAUAACUGGUGUUGCCGAGAACAUGAACAGCUUCACAGGCCCCAUAUAAAAGGCUGAAUCCCAGCCCCUGGAUCACGAGGAGAGACGUAUUCCAACCUCUUUUGUGCAUGGCUGCAGAUGACACCUCAUAAGAGCUCAAUAAAUAAAUCCACCAAAGAAGCAGCCGUUAGGCAGAAAUCCACCUGAGCUGCUGUGCAUGUGGCAAAACAUCUCAAAGACCCCAAAAGCGAGGCAUCAUCAUGUUUACAUCACAGCUCUGAAACGAAAAAGAAACGGACUAUUGAGUCUGAUUUCUCCAUUAUCCUGUUGCGUUCGGAUUUUUAAAAGGGAUCAAAAUUCCAUUUUUCCUAAAGAAAGGGAGCCACAGAUUCACAGAUUUCAUUAUCAACUUGAAACAAAUUGAGCAAAAAAUUAGGGGGAAUGUUUUUUCAUAUCCAGCAAGGCCUUCUUUUAAAACCAGCAAACAUCUGCGCACUUAAGUACCUUCUGUUGAGGUCUAAGGAAGUCACUUUCUGGAAUACAUGUGAGUUCAUUGACUCUGCCUCACUUUCAAGAACUGAAUAAGAAAUGAAAUCAUCCUGUAGGUUUUAGAAAAGUAUGAAAAAUGCUACAUCUGCCGAGAAAGUUUGGAUGGGCUAUUCAGAUCUUACCAGAAACAGAUGCAGAACACUGUGUUGGGUUGGAACUGGGCCAGUAUUUGGGGCAACAUUUGGAUUUUCUCUUCAAAUAAAAUAAAUAAAUAAUUUAAAUAUCA
rnacentral:lncRNA from 1 species